CGAAAACACGAUAACAUCGGCGAGCGUCAGCCCACGCUGAAAUAAGCAUCACUCUGUACUCAUAAAAACAAAGACAACGUUUGUAGUUCACAUGAAUACAGAAAUGAUCCAGAACUGCCUCUGUUCCAGGCUGUAAACAUCUUUAUUUCUGCUGUGAUGUUUUAACAUGGGGCUCCAUGGGGACAGACUGACUGAAGGACACAACCUCUAGUGGACACUGAUGGAACUGCGGCUUUUGGGACAUCAUGAUCACCCCCACAGUACAAGGUUACCUUCCUGAUGUUGAAUGUAAUAUUCCCAUUGAUUAAUUAAUUAUAUAUAAUUAUAUUAAAAUAAUACAUAAUAAAGUAUAAUAAUGUAUAUAUAUAUAUAAUCUAAAAUAUAUACAUGAUAUUUAUGUAUAUUUAUAUAUAUAUAUUGUACAAUUUAUAUAUAUCUUGCAUUUAUUUUUAUAUAUCAUGCAUUUAUAUAUAAAUAUAUGUAUAUAUAAAUAUAUAUAUACAUAUAUAUAUAUAUUUAUAUAUACAUAUAUGUAUAUAUAAAUAUAUAUACAUAUAUGUAUAUAUAUUUAUAUAUCUAUAUAUAUAUAUAUAUUUAUAUCUAAAUAUCUAAAUAUACAUAUAUAUUUAUUUAUAUACAUAUAUAUAUAUAUAUAUAUACACACACACAAUAUAACCAUAUACAUAAUUAUAAUAAUUGUAUUUUUGUAUCAUUAACUUUUUUGUUGAGAAAAUCUUGACGUUCGUAUUUUUCUAUCUUUGUGACCGCACCAUCAGAUCAGUUUGUUGUGACCUCGGCUGAGAAGCAGAGCCCAAAUCCACCUCCUCAUGCCUCGCCGAGAAGCCCAGGAUCUGGUCUGGACCUGCUGGGUCUGGUCUGGACCUGCUGGGUCUGGUUAACCCUGAUGAAAGCUCAAAGAUGAAGAAAGAA